rnacentral:rRNA from 1 species
AGUGGCGGACGGGUGAGUAACACAUAAGAAUUUGCCUUUAGGAGGGGGAUUAAUACCCCAUAUGCUUUCGAGUGAAAUGGAUUUUUCCGCCUAGAGAGAAGCUUGCGGCUGAUUAGCUUGUUGGUGAGGUAAUGGCUUACCAAGGCGACGACCAGUAUCUGGUUUGAGAGGACGAUCAGACACACUGGAACUGAGACACGGUCCAGACUCCUACGGGAGGCAGCAGUGGGGAAUUUUCCGCAAUGGGCGAAAGCCUGACGGAGCAAUCUCGCGUGAGGGAUGACUGCCUAUGGGUUGUAAACCUCUUUUUUCAGGGAGGAAUCAAUGACGUGUACCUGAAGAAUAAGCAUCGGCUAACUCCGUGCCAGCAGCCGCGGUAAGACGGAGGAUGCAAGUGUUAUCCGGAAUCACUGGGCGUAAAGCGUCUGUAGGUGGUUUAAUAAGUCAACUGUUAAAUCUUGAAGCUCAACUUCAAAAUCGGAGUCGAAACUAUUAGACUAGAGUAUAGUAGGGGUAAAGGGAAUUUCCAGUGGAGCGGUGAAAUGCGUAGAGAUUGGAAAGAACACCGAUGGCGAAGGCACUUUACUGGGCUAUUACUGACACUCAGAGGCGAAAGCUAGGGUAGCAAAUGGGAUUAGAUACCCCAGUAGUCCUAGCCGUAAACAAUGGAUACUAGAUGUUGAACAGAUCGACCUGUGCA